rnacentral:sRNA from 1 species
UGUAGCUAAUCUCAAAACAGAGGACUUAGAACAGAGACUGAUUCUGAUUAAUAAAUCUCAAUC